GACGAAGGAUGCAAGCGUUAUCCGGAUUCAUUGGGUUUAAAGGGAGCGUAGGUGGCCUUAUAAGUCAGUGGUGAAAUCUCUGGGCUUAACCCAGAAAUUGCCAUUGAUACUGUAGGGCUUGAGUACAGUUGCUGUGGGCGGAAUAUGACAUGUAGUGGUGAAAUACAUAGAGAUGUCAUAGAGCACCGAUUGCGAAGGCAGCUCACAAAACUGUAACUGACACUGAGGCUCGAAAGUGCGGGGAUCAAACAGG
rnacentral:rRNA from 1 species